GGCGGAUUAGGAGGACAGCAUAGUACAGAUGGGGGUGGGAGUGGGGGGGCCUCCGUGGGGAGCCAGCGUGGAUCGAGUGCGGGGGCCGGAUUCCCCGCCCCCUCCGCGCUACAGACUCCGCGAUGAUUUAAAGAGUCGUUCUGGCAGAGUGGCAUCCGUGCACGGGAUCUGGAAGCCUCGUACAUCAGGACUACCGCUGCCCGCCAUAGGAAAACUGUGUGCAUUGAGAGGUGAGAAGGAGCAGCUGUGCUCUGGACCCAGCCCCUCAAAACGUGCAGUGAGCGAAUGCUACCAUAACGUUCUUGCCUGGAGCAGAAGACAGUAAGACUGCGUAUUCAGGAACGGGAGUGCAUUGGACACACAGCAUUCAGAAAAAAAAAUGGACACUGUAAAAACUAGGUUAUCCUAAAAGAAAGACUGUUGCCAUCUCCCCAAGUCAAGAGAUUCUCUCCCUAGGACUUCAGAAGCACCUCCCGCUGUGUAAAAUGUUCUUGUUCCUAAAGUGGAGACCAUUUUUAGAGACAGUAGUAUAACCUGUUUAUUUUUUCUAUCCUGCAAAGUGCUGGAGGCAGCAAUGAUCUGAGCCCUACAAAGUGACCGUCCAGCAUCAUGGUUGUUUGCAUAUACUCUUUGAGGAGGGGGACAGAAGUGGCAAAGUCAAGAUUCUGCUAUUACCCUGUAUUUCUCAGAUCUCACUUGUAUACAUUCUUGACCUAUUUGGAUCUCCAUCUCCUCACAAAAAGAAAAAAAAAAAAAAGUGAAGAUGUGCUAAUACUCUUGUGAAGAAGUGGUAAUACUACGUUCACCAUUCCUUGGAGCAUUGGAUUUCUCCACUGAGUGCUUUGUAUGUGGCCAGAAAAAAACAAAGGGAAGAGAAAAUAUGGAUUAUUUGUGUGGGAAGUAUUUUUUAAAGAUUUUUAUUUAUUUACUUGGGAGAAAGAGCGUAGAGAGAGAGGGAGGGAGAAGCCGACUCCGUGCUGGGCAGAGAGUCCAAUGCGGGGCUUAAUCCCAGGACCCUGAGAUGAUAACCUGAGCCAAAGGCAGCUGCUUAACCAACUGAGCCAUCCCAUGUAGGAAUUUUUUAUAGGCCAGGCCUGCAGGUAGCAAACACAUAGAUCUACUUUGCACACAUCACACUGGUGGUAACUCAGGAACAUGGAUACUGCUGCAAUGCUUAGGAGAUGACACAAUCUAUCUGUGUGCCCAAGAGACUUGACAUAGUAAAAAUUAGGCCAGUCUCCACCAUGCUUGUCCAAAAGCUAUUUUCUAUGUUACUUCUUCCAUAUUAGUAGGAUCCCAGUUUUGUUCAGACAGAAGGAAGAUCCUUUGAUUUCAAAGAAGGUAACUUCAUCUCACCAAAUCAGGAAAUGAAUUACAGUGAUCCAAACCAAUCCUGGUAAUUCCAGUUCUUGUCACCAGUGACUAGUCUAAGAGUGGGUAUAGACUCAGUUCUGAAAUAGGAAAGGAAGUCUAGUAGGAGGCUCGCAGGAAAAUUUUUCUUUUUGUAUAAAAAAGACAGGACCUUCACAGAAGAAAUUCUUUUGCCCCUGCCUCUCUUUUUGCUGAGACAAAGGAGUGAAAACACCAGGCGUGGAGCUGUCAUACCCAUCUUGUGACCAUAAAUGUGACAGCAAACAAAGAUGAAGACAGUCAGGAUGGAGGACAGCAAAGGAGACAGAAAGGAGUCUUUGAUGACAGAAAUAAGCUUCUGAAUGGAACUGGGACUGCCCGCUGCUUCUGGACUUUUUAAGUAAACAAACGUUCAUAUGUUUCAAGAACACUGCUAGACGAGUUUUCUGUUCUUUGCUGCCAAAAAUCAUUCUUAAGUGACACGAGAGAGAAGUAGGAGAGCUUUUCUGGGAAAAGGAGCUAAUUGGUGGUAUCUGAAUGUUCUGAGAAGUAAAGGAGAAUACAGAUGGAAAAGUGGCCAGAGGAUUUGCAGUGAGAUGGUCCCUGUGGAUCUUGGUAAGAUCAAGUGGCAUGGUGAGGAGGAAGAAGCAAUGUGAUUCCUACAAAAGAUCUCUCCUGGUAUGAGUGGUGACCGACAAACUGGGAAGGAUGGUUUGAACCAAAUGGGUGACAGAAUCUACUCUGGUCAAUUCCUAUAUUCAGUUCCUAAUACCCAAGGAAGCUGUUUGGGUUCCUGCUGUCUGCUUCAGCUACACCUGGGAAAUCAUGAACUGAAUCACUUUGCUCUCUUGAGCACUUCUCACAGCAAUAAGCCAGGAAAAGUUGUUCUGGCCCCUGAACUGGUUUCCUAGAGGGCAAACCCAGCAUAUAUGAUGGGGACUAAAUAGAACCUUUUUAAAAACAUUUUCUUCCAGGAUUUAUUGACUGUAUAAUAAGUACCAGGCAUUCAGUUAGACAGAAUAAAGAGAUGAAUAAAGCAUAUUCUGUGUCCUCUGGGACCUCACAAUCUAAUUUAGGAAAUAAAUUAGGAACAAUUAUAACAAAUCUGAGAUUGGUCCUCAAAGUGGCAUUACUAGUGGUCAGAAACAUAGCAGUUACUGUCUGGAGAUCACUACAGAUGCAUCUAGAAGUAUCUCUAUUGACCGAACAGGGACUUAAAGAAGACAGCACUGUUUCAGCCAGGCCAUCAGUGAGAUGUUAUUUGGUUUUAGUAACUAUCUUUAAGUACCUUUUCCAUGCAAAAUGUGAACAGACUAAAAACACCAUUACAUUAUCACAUGCAAUGGACACGAGCUCUUCAGCAUGACAAGUACUCCUUGGGAAGGAGUUAUUGGUCUGCGCUAGGCCACCAGGGAGCCACGGGGUUAGAAACUAAAACCAGGCAGAGAUGAGUGUGGUAUACAGAACAGUGAAAUGAAGUGCCCACCUGUGUUAUGAUAACAGGUGAGCGAGUCCCUCCUCUGUAUGGUAAAAAGGCUUGGUCCCCUCUUGGCUCCCAUACUUCUCAUGUUCCCUAGCAUCUCCCCACUAAAGCUGGGUGGUUGCUGGGCUGAAGAGUGGGAUUGCAAGUAGGAACUGGCUUCCCUGCUUUCAGGUGUAAGUCUUGCUGGUCUUGUUCUCUUUUUGUAUCAAAAUAAGACAUUUGGGGGACUGGGUCCUAGCAGAAAUGACUUGGAUGGAAGGAGAGUUUGGAAAGAGGCCACGGCCAUGGGAUUAAAGAGAAAGAGUCAAAUACAGCUAGUUAACAUUAUGAAUGCAUGAAAUGCCACUGAAUCGUACACUUUAAAAUGGUUAAUUGUAGGGCACUUGGGUGGCUCAGUCAUUAAGUAUCUGCCUUUGGCUCAGCUCAUGAUCCCCAGGGUCCUGGAAUCAGAGUUCCACAUCCAGCUCCCUGCUCCUUGAGAAGCCUCCUCCUCCCACUCCUGCUCCCCCUGCUUGUGUUCCCUCCCUCUCUGUCAAAUUAAUAAAUAAAAUCUUUUAAAAAUGGUUAA